rnacentral:lncRNA from 1 species
AGAAUAGAUAUUAGUUUUUUUUUAUAAGAUAUUAAUAAAAUAGACUAAUAAUCUAUAGAAUAGUCAGUUCAAGAGGAUAGAUGGUUAACUUAGUUAUUAAAAGUGACUAAUUAUAGGAUUAUGAUUAGAAUCUAGGAAUAAGAAGUAAGUAUGUAGGAGUUGUAGAAGUUAGUCUGAGUACCAAAUUGUGAUAGACAUGAACUAGGAUAAGCUUGCUGCUAUCUCUUGUUUCUUGUUUUUAUUUUUUUGGUUUUAGAUUUUGAUUACUGUGAAGUGAGUCUGGAAUAAAUCAGAGAUUGAUUUAUAAGAUAUUGAGUAUGUAAUUGGAGUACUAUGUGGUUGAAUUAUUGUGAGAAGAUAUUGAGAAUUGGUUAUCAGACUCUAUGGAAGAUUGAUUAUGGAUGAAAGAUUAUGAUUAUUAAUUAUUGAGAGCUGUGUGUUUUCAAGGAAGAAGUGAGUGAUUACAAAAAUUAUGUGAAGACAGAUUGUUUGGAGUGGAAUUCUAUUAUUUCUAGUAUUGAAUGGAAUUUAUAUAUUUGGAGCAAUUGUUUUAGAUAGUACGAGAGUUGCGCUUUGUUGUUAUCAAUGAUUGCAGAGUACUAUUAAGAAUAGUAAGCAUUGUAGUAUUUUUUUGGUGUUUUAGUGGUUUGAAUUACGAUUAUUUGUGUGACCCUAAUAUGUAAGCUCAUGCAAUAGUCUUUCUUUGUGUUCGAAUCUCCAUCUACG